GACGAACGCUGGCGGCGUGCCUAAUACAUGCAAGUAGAACGCUGAAGGAGGAACUUGCUUCUCUGGAUGAGUUGCGAACGGGUGAGUAACGCGUAGGUAACCUGCCUGGUAGCGGGGGAUAACUAUUGGAAACGAUAGCUAAUACCGCAUAAUAGUAGAUGUUGCAUGACAUUUACUUAAAAGGUGCACUUGCAUCACUACCAGAUGGACCUGCGUUGUAUUAGCGAGUUGGUGGGGUAACGGCUCACCAAGGCGACGAUACAUAGCCGACCUGAGAGGGUGAUCGGCCACACUGGGAAUGAGACACGGCCCAGACUCCUACGGGAGGCAGCAGUAGGGAAUCUUCGGCAAUGGACGGAAGUCUGACCGAGCAACGCCGCGGGAGUGAAGAAGGUUUUCGGAUCGUAAAGCUCUGUUGUAAGAGAAGAACGAGUGUGAGAGUGGAAAGUUCACACUGUGACGGUAUCUUACCAGAAAGGGACGGCUAACUACGUG
rnacentral:rRNA from 1 species